GAUCCUGGCUCAGGACGAACGCUGGCGGCGUGCCUAACACAUGCAAGUCGAACGGAGUUAAGCUCUUCGGAACUUGACUUAGUGGCGAACGGGUGAGUAACGCGUGAGGAACCUGCCUUUCAGUGGGGGACAACAGUUGGAAACGACUGCUAAUACCGCAUGACACUUUUGGGAGACAUCUCCUGGAAGUCAAAGCUUUAUGUGCUGAAAGAUGGCCUCGCGUCUGAUUAGCUGGUUGGUGAGG
rnacentral:rRNA from 1 species